rnacentral:rRNA from 1 species
AUGCACGCUGGCGGCGUGCCUCAUCCCUGCCAGUCGAGCGAACAGACGAGGAGCUUGCUCCUCUGACGUUAGCGGCGGACGGGUGAGUAACACGUGGAUAACCUACCUAUAAGACUGGGAUAACUUCGGGAAACCGGAGCUAAUACCGGAUAAUAUAUUGAACCGCAUGGUUCAAUAGUGAAAGACGGUUUUGCUGUCACUUAUAGAUGGAUCCGCGCCGCAUUAGCUAGUUGGUAAGGUAACGGCUUACCAAGGCAACGAUGCGUAGCCGACCUGAGAGGGUGAUCGGCCACACUGGAACUGAGACACGGUCCAGACUCCUACGGGAGGCAGCAGUAGGGAAUCUUCCGCAAUGGGCGAAAGCCUGACGGAGCAACGCCGCGUGAGUGAUGAAGGUCUUCGGAUCGUAAAACUCUGUUAUUAGGGAAGAACAAAUGUGUAAGUAACUAUGCACGUCUUGACGGUAUCUAAUCAGAAAGCCACGGCUAACUACGUG